AAUACGACGAUAAAGAGGACGAGUACCAUUAAUUACUUUUUCAGCGAGUCGAAGAUAGUGGGAGUUCGGUAAAGGAUUAAUGUGAAAAACACCUUGAGUUUUCAGUUUGAACUAAGUAGGACUGACGGUUACAAUCCGUUAUCAUUGUUCGAGUUGGUUUAUGUAAUAUAAACAAGAUGGGUGGUACCGCGAUGACUUCGUCCCUUUG
rnacentral:ncRNA from 1 species